GCAGCUGCUCCCAACCCCAGAACCUUUGCUGUCUUGGGACGGAUCACCGCUGCAAGAGGGGAAGUUGCUACUGUGAUGAAUUCUGCCAUGUGGCACCAGACUGCCACCCAGACCACAGUGUCCUCUGCAACCCUGGUCAAAGGUGCCUACAUGCUCCUUCUAGCUUUGUUUCCCUGAUGUUCCUUGCCACCUGCUACUCCUCUCUGAGCUACUUUUCCAGCUUCUCAGAUGACCAAGAUGGUGCUGCAGAUGGUGCUGAGGAUGGAGAACCCACCAAGCCCCGCUAGGAGCCACCUAGACUGGAUGCAGAGCAUGGUUCAGCGAGUUCUCCAAACCAGCCUCCCAGGAAUGCCAUUCACCAUGGCUGUGAGGAGAAUAAAGAAGAGAGCCUGACUCCUCUCCUGAGGCCCCUUCCCCACCCUGAGCCAGCA
rnacentral:misc_RNA from 1 species